rnacentral:rRNA from 1 species
GAAGCGAUUCCGGCUACGGAUGGUCAUGCGUCGCAUUAGCUAGUUGGCGGGGUAACGGCCCACCAAGGCGACGAUGCGUAGGGGUUCUGAGAGGAAGGUCCCCCACACUGGUACUGAGACACGGACCAGACUCCUACGGGAGGCAGCAGUGAGGAAUAUUGGUCAAUGGCCGCAGGGCUGAACCAGCCAAGUCGCGUGAGGGAUGACGGUCCUAUGGAUUGUAAACCUCUUUUGUCAGGGAGCAAAGGGCGCCACGUGUGGCGCUUUGCGAGUACCUGAAGAAAAAGCAUCGGCUAACUCCGUGCCAGCAGCCGCGGUAAUACGGAGGAUGCGAGCGUUAUCCGGAUUUAUUGGGUUUAAAGGGUGCGCAGGCGGAAUGUCAAGUCAGCGGUAAAAUUUCGGGGCUCAACCCCGUCGUGCCGUUGAAACUGGCGUUCUUGAGUGAGCGAGAAGUAUGCGGAAUGCGUGGUGUAGCGGUGAAAUGCAUAGAUAUCACGCAGAACUCCGAUUGCGAAGGCAGCAUACCGGCGCUCAACUGACGCUCAUGCACGAAAGCGUGGGUAUCGAACAGGAUUAGAUACCCUGGUAGUCCACGCAGUAAACGAUGAAUACUAACUGUCCGGGCAGAAUGAUGCCUGG